rnacentral:rRNA from 1 species
AACACAUGCAAGUCGAGGGGCAGCAUUUCAGUUUGCUUGCAAACUGGAGAUGGCGACCGGCGCACGGGUGAGUAACACGUAUCCAACCUGCCGAUAACUCGGGGAUAGCCUUUCGAAAGAAAGAUUAAUACCCGAUGGUAUAAUCAGACCGCAUGGUCUUGUUAUUAAAGAAUUUCGGUUAUCGAUGGGGAUGCGUUCCAUUAGGCAGUUGGUGAGGUGACGGCUCACCAAACCUUCGAUGGAUAGGGGUUCUGAGAGGAAGGUCCCCCACAUUGGAACUGAGACACGGUCCAAACUCCUACGGGAGGCAGCAGUGAGGAAUAUUGGUCAAUGGGCGCAGGCCUGAACCAGCCAAGUAGCGUGAAGGAUGACUGCCCUAUGGGUUGUAAACUUCUUUUAUAUGGGAAUAAAGUUUUCCACGUGUGGAAUUUUGUAUGUACCAUAUGAAUAAGGAUCGGCUAACUCCGUGCCAGCAGCCGCGGUAAUACGGAGGAUCCGAGCGUUAUCCGGAUUUAUUGGGUUUAAAGGGAGCGUAGGUGGACAGUUAAGUCAGUUGUGAAAGUUUGCGGCUCAACCGUAAAAUUGCAGUUGAUACUGGCUGUCUUGAGUACAGUAGAGGUGGGCGGAAUUCGUGGUGUAGCGGUGAAAUGCUUAGAUAUCACGAAGAACUCCGAUUGCGAAGGCAGCUCACUGGACUGCAACUGACACUGAUGCUCGAAAGUGUGGGUAUCAAACAGGAUUAGAUACCCUGGUAGUCCACACAGUAAACGAUGAAUACUCGCUGUUUGCGAUAUACAGUAAGCGGCCAAGCGAAAGCAUUAAGUAUUCCACCUGGGGAGUACGCCGGCAACGGUGAAACUCAAAGGAAUUGACGGGGGCCCGCACAAGCGGAGGAACAUGUGGUUUAAUUCGAUGAUACGCGAGGAACCUUACCCGGGCUUAAAUUGCAUUUGAAUAUAUUGGAAACAGUAUAGCCGUAAGGCAAAUGUGAAGGUGCUGCAUGGUUGUCGUCAGCUCGUGCCGUGAGGUGUCGGCUUAAGUGCCAUAACGAGCGCAACCCUUAUCUUUAGUUACUAACAGGUCAUGCUGAGGACUCUAGAGAGACUGCCGUCGUAAGAUGUGAGGAAGGUGGGGAUGACGUCAAAUCAGCACGGCCCUUACGUCCGGGGCUACACACGUGUUACAAUGGGGGGUACAGAAGGCAGCUACCUGGUGACAGGAUGCUAAUCCCAAAAGCCUCUCUCAGUUCGGAUCGAAGUCUGCAACCCGACUUCGUGAAGCUGGAUUCGCUAGUAAUCGCGCAUCAGCCAUGGCGCGGUGAAUACGUUCCCGGGCCUUGUACACACCGCCCGUCAAGCCAUGAAAGCCGGGGGUACCUGAAGUACGUAACCGCAAGGAGCGUCCUAGGGUAAAACUGGUAAUUGGGGCUAAGUCG